rnacentral:misc_RNA from 1 species
AAGUCGUAACAAGGUUUCCGUAGGUGAACCUGCGGAAGGAUCAUUAUCACGUAUCCACGUAUCACCAAAUGUGCAUUGUAAUUAUCUCCCUGUCGCUUCACAUGCAUUGGAACUUGUCACGCUUGGGAAUGGAGCCUUCGGGCUAGCGUGUCAUGCACACUUGCGGGCGCUUGCGCUCGCAGACAAUGGUAGUGAAUGCAACAGGCCCCUUCUCGCGUCUUCGUGACCAUUCUACUCGAUGACGCGGGAGAACUAUACACACCUAUUUCACCCAUUUUUGCUAGUUGACUUUUUUAAUGUUGGGCUUCACGGCUCACACGUUUAAUUAUUUAAACGAAAAAUACAACUCUUAGCAAUGGAUAUCUAGGUUCUC